rnacentral:rRNA from 1 species
UGCGUAGGUGGCGUCGUAAGUCGGGUGUGAAAUCUCGGGGCUUAACUCCGAAACUGCAUUCGAUACUGCGGUGCUUGAGGACUGGAGAGGAGACUGGAAUUUACGGUGUAGCAGUGAAAUGCGUAGAGAUCGUAAGGAAGACCAGUGGCGAAGGCGGGUCUCUGGAAAGUUCCUGACACUGAGGCACGAAGGCCAGGGGAGGCAAACG